rnacentral:rRNA from 1 species
UACAGAGGGUGCGAGCGUUAAUCGGAAUUACUGGGCGUAAAGCGUGCGUAGACGGCUAUCUAAGUCGGGUGUGAAAGCCCCGGGCUCAACCUGGGAAUUGCAUUCGAGACUGAAUAGCUAGGGUACGGUAGAGGGGAGCGGAAUUUCCGGUGUAGCGGUGAAAUGCAUAGAUAUCGGAAGGAACAUCAGUGGCGAAGGCGGCUACCUGGCCCAAUACUGACACUCAGGUG